rnacentral:sRNA from 4 species
GUUUGCACUUGUCGGGGAAGGGUGAGAACCUUCGAUUAAGGUUCGACUCGAGCGAAAGCGAGAGAACGUUGCCAACGGCAACGGCCCGUAGGGUGAGGAGCGAAGCGACGAAUAAUCCUUCCCCACCACCA